AAGAAAGUAAAUAAGGGCGCAUGGCGGAUGCCUUGGCUCUCGGAGGCGAUGAAGGACGUGAUAAGCUGCGAUAAGCUUCGGGUAGGUGCAAAUAACCUUUGAUCCGAAGAUUUCCGAAUGGGACAACCCGGCAUUCUGAAGGAAUGUCAUCCAACCAAGUUGGAGGCUAACGCAGGGAACUGAAACAUCUUAGUACCUGCAGGAAAAGAAAAUAAAUAAUGAUUCCCCUAGUAGUGGCGAGCGAACGGGGAAUAGCCCAAACCACCCGUGUUACGGCAUGUGUGGGGUUGUAGGACCACGCUCUCGCAAGAAAGUUAUUGAGAAGAAGCGGCUGGAAAGCCGCGCCAUAGACGGUGAUAGCCCGGUAUUCCAAGGUAACUGAAGCGUAGUGGUAUCCUGAGUAGCGCGGAGCACGAGGAAUUCUGCGUGAACCAGCCGGGACCAUCCGGUAAGGCUAAAUACUCCCGAGAGACCGAUAGCGAACCAGUACUGUGAAGGAAAGGUGAAAAGCACUUCGAAUAGAAGAGUGAAAUAGUCCCUGAAACCAUGUGCCUACAAGCGGUCGGAGCAGCGUAAGCUGUGACGGCGUGCCUUUUGCAUAAUGAACCUACGAGUUACUUUUUCCGGCAAGGUUAAGCAUC
rnacentral:rRNA from 1 species